CCCCUUAGCGGGGUGGGAGACAGUGUCAGGCGGGCAGUUUGACUGGGGCGGUCGCCUCCCAAAAGGUAACGGAGGCGCCCAAAGGUUCCCUCAGAAUGGUUGGAAAUCAUUCGGAGAGUGCAAAGGCACAAGGGAGCUUGACUGCGAGACGGACAGGUCGAGCAGGGACGAAAGUCGGGCUUAGUGAUCCGGUGGUUCCGCAUGGAAGGGCCAUCGCUCAACGGAUAAAAGCUACCCCGGGGAUAACAGGCUGAUCUCCCCCAAGAGUCCACAUCGACGGGGAGGUUUGGCACCUCGAUGUCGGCUCAUCGCAUCCUGGGGCUGUAGUCGGUCCCAAGGGUUGGGCUGUUCGCCCAUUAAAGCGGUACGCGAGCUGGGUUCAGAACGUCGUGAGACAGUUCGGUCCCUAUCCGUCGCGGGCGCAGGAAAUUUGAGAGGAGCUGUCCUUAGUACGAGAGGACCGGGAUGGACGCACCGCUGGUGUACCAGUUGUCCCGCCAGGGGCACCGCUGGGUAGCUAUGUGCGGACGGGAUAAGCGCUGAAAGCAUCUAAGCGUGAAGCCCCCCUCAAGAUGAGAUUUCCCACCGCGUCAGGCGGGUAAGAUCCCUCGAAGAUGACGAGGUCGAUAGGUCCGAGGUGGAAGCGUGGCGACACGUGGAGCUGACGGAUACUAAUCGAUCGAGGGCUUAACCUAA
rnacentral:rRNA from 1 species